UUUUCAGUGGUUUCCCACCUUCGUACGAAACAUAACGUCGUUAUUCUCUUGACAUAGCGAUUUUUAUGGCUAAUCAGUUAGUGCUUGCAGGGCAUGCUGAAAAUUAUAACCGAUAUUGCACCGUCUCGACAAAUUGUCGGUGAUUCUCAGCCGAUCCAAGGAUGGCGGGUGGACGAACAACUGAUGAUGCAAGAACAAAUAUAUCUCAACAUUGCGCAAGCAGUAAAAAAUGAAAUGGGCAUUGAGAUGACGAAUUUAAGCUCUGGCUAAGAAUAUGUGAAAGUCAUAUAUUUGAACUGCGGAUAAAGACCUGAAUAUGAAAGUGAUCCUCGCAGUAAUGUACACUACUUAAGCAGAAGUGAAAAUAAGGCCUGAAAAAAAAUUCAGGCCUGUACGGGAUUAAGCUCUGUUGUACUAAAAGGUGUCUUCCAAAACAAUGAACAUUAAUUUGGUAUGCAGUUGACGGAAAUGUAAUUACAAAGCUCUUUGGCUCGCUUACGCUUGAGGCUGAUUGAUUAUUCAACAGAAUUUUGUGGUUGUGUUUUCCUGGCCACCCUAUUAAACUUUCUGGAAGCUGACAAGAUACAGGUUCUCUUUUGAAUGAAUUAAUAAUUUGCUUAUAAUGACAGUCCCAGAAUUAAUUACAAAAAUUAAAGAUGUUGAACGAUGCUAGUGAUAAUUAAUAUUUUGGAAUAACGCAUUCGUUACGGUAUGAAAAUGAACUCAGCAUCAAAGAAUUAAAGUUUGUUUCCUCGUG